rnacentral:lncRNA from 1 species
AGAGUAAAUACAGAUUUAUCUUAAGGGUGGUUGUUCUUUUUUUUCCUUCUUCUUCUUCCUUUUUUUUCUUUUUCUGAGAAGUCCUUGCAGUUUUGAGAAACUCUCUGGGUGCUGUGGGAGUUUCUCCUUUCCAUUGCUCAAUGUUCUCACAGUCUAGCCCAUUCCUGUUUGCCUAUCUAAUUACUGUUUGGGAUAAUCUGUGUUUCCUAUCCAAAGCCAUGUUAUCAGGUCAUUCUGCACUGAAAUACUGCUGUCCUCCAAGACAAAAGCAACUGUGUAUCAGAGAUUUUCGUCUUCCUUCUGCUGAGAGUUUCCAGUGGUGAAUGUAAGAAAGUGAAUCAUUUUUAUGCAAGGUAGCAGAGCCCCGCAGGGCUGUUAUCCCUUGCCUGGCUCCACCACUGAAAUACGGGGCAGAAAACUGGCUCAUGGUAAAGGAAAAGGAGGGCAUUGAGGAACACAGUCCUGCAGAGGGUGUCGUGCAGCUCUCCCACCCCAGACGACUGCAUGGCACAGGGCCAGGGUUCUGUAAUGAAUGGGGCUGUGGCCAUGCUCUGAAGAUAUGGUUGUACAAGUGGAUGCCUCUUCCUUUACUUUCCAGCUGCUUGACCUCUUGGGUGAAAUAUAAGCAACCAGUUAAGUGUACUCUUCAGUCACAGUAAUUAUUUGCCUGAAAUCCCUCCCAAACAAGAUGCCUUUCAUUCAGCAUAGUGAAUUUUAUGUCCUUCUGCUCAGGCAAUGGGGAAAAAUUGAUGGUUGAUGUUCAUUGCCAAUGUUGUGUUCUGGGGUUGGGAUGAGAGAAGGAGCCAACAGCCUCCGUGGUCUGAGAGGUAGUGUUAUGAGGGCACCACAUAAGCUCUCACUUCUCAGCUUUCUCACUGACUCUCCAUAUUUCCUCUUCCAGCAUGUGUAGUCUAUGUCAGAGUCUGGAAGAAAUUCUUCAUGUCUCCUUCUCCCAUCAGUAUUUUAUCUGCAUAUGGGUCAACUUUUGGAAGCCCUCUGUUUGCUCUGAGCAUCUGUUAUGCUUAUGUUUUAUGAGGUGCUAUUGAAUUGCUAACACUCCUGUGCACCGCCACAGAAGCAGCAAGACCUCAUCGAGCUGGAUGGAGCAUGUUCCUACCACACUUCUGGCUAGACAGAUCCAGUUCUUUUAAAUCUAAUUUGCCAAUAAUUAUCUUUCUCCAUUGAGAAUCUGGCCAGAAUUGAUUUUUGAAGGUAUUUUGUUUUUUUAUGAAGUUGCCUUUUCUGAAUAUCUGUGGACUGUGCUGAUGGACUUAAAAUAUUUUUUUGAUUUAUCACCCUUCAGCAUUACAUAAGUGGGGAGGUCUGUGUUUUUUAUUUUUAUUUAUUUUUAUUUUUUAUUUUCAUAGAGGUCCAUGUCUUGGUCACAUGUCAAAUAUAACUUAGGUGAGUGGAUUGUUGCAGUCUGGAAAAGCAGGCCAAGAUUUAGCUGGAAAAGUUGGGUACUUGGAAAGCAGGAGUGGAAACUUUAGUGGUGAGAGGAGGUAACCAAGGCAGAGGGAGCCCUUGAACAAAAGAGGAGACCCCAAACCACGGUGUGUAUUUGUCUUUGAUGCUGGCAGAGUUAUACAGGCCCUAAAGGAAGCUCUGCACUGCUGGAGGGCUGCUUUCAUAUUAGACACUGGACCCAGGUCCUAUUUUUUCUGGCUCUGGUGGCUGUCCAGGAGGAAGUGAGAGAUCCUAUGACACUUGUUGGAAGACAAGGACAUGAUCCCAGUGCUGUGGAUAAAGUUUCCUGUCUGGCAAUAAAAUACUUUGAGCUCUGUGGAUCGUGUUAACA